GACGAACGCUGGCGGCGUGCUUAACACAUGCAAGUCGAACGGAAAGGCCCUGCUUUUGUGGGGUGCUCGAGUGGCGAACGGGUGAGUAACACGUGAGUAACCUGCCCUUGACUUUGGGAUAACUUCAGGAAACUGGGGCUAAUAUCGGAUAGGAGCUCCUGCUGCAUGGUGGGGGUUGGAAAGUUUCGGCGGUUGGGGAUGGACUCGCGGGUUAUCAGCUUGUUGGUGGGGUAGUGGCUUACCAAGGCUUUGACGGGUAGCCGGCCUGAGAGGGUGACCGGCCACAUUGGGACUGAGAUACGGCCCAGACUCCUACGGGAGGCAGCAGUGGGGAAUAUUGCACAAUGGGCGGAAGCCUGAUGCAGCAACGCCGCGUGCGGGAUGACGGCCUUCGGGUUGUAAACCGCUUUCGCCUGUGACGAAGCGUGAGUGACGGUAAUGGGUAAAGAAGCACCGGCUAACUACGUG
rnacentral:rRNA from 1 species